AAAAAAAAAAAAAUCAAAAAUCCAACUUUUAACCAACCUCCCAAUUCAUCCAUUGUUUCGUUAUUUUCAGUUCUUAUCCAUCACAGUUUUUUGAUAGAUUCUACUCGACUCCGACUCUGGACUCUGGACUCUCGAUUCUCGACUCUUGACUCCGCGACUUCUUGCAACAAUGGUGGGUUGAUUGAUGAAAAUCACGUAGUCGUUUAACUCUCUCUAUCCCCAAUUCGAGUAGAAGAUUUUGAUAGAUUCACGAUCGGGAUUGCAUGUUUAGUUCAUAAUACACAUUUUGAAUGUACGCAUGACAGGGUGGGACUUGAAAAUUUCUCGAAUACGCUGCUUGCAAUUGGCUUUGGACUACUUGAAAUUUGAGGAGAUUGAGAAUUUAUAGAGAGAAUUGGUGCCCUUGAUUGCUUGAGCUAAUCAUGAUGUCAUUGUUUUAUAUGAAGUUGAAUUUAUCAACGGGCAAGGUCGUGUCAACAGAUGGAUUCAUCUUACGAAGAGGAUGCAAGGUUGUCACCAACAAAAUCGAAAAAAAGGAAAGGUAGAGGUUCAAUAACCCUACCAGGGAUCAUAAAGGAUGAAAGUUUUGGUGUGCAAAAAAUCAUUCACUAUAAUGAGUUGGGUCAACCAAUAGGGGACGUACAAUACCUGAGCUAUCGUGGAGUUUUGGCUCGAGCAAUGGUCCCAAUAGUCUAUAAAGAUUGGCAUAAGAUUCCAAAAGAAUUGAAAGAGAAAUUGUGGAGUUGUGCGGAGUCAGCAUACAAUGUGGAUCCAAGUAGAAAAAAGAAGACUUUGUCUUCAAUUGCAAAGAAAUGGAGGACAUUCAAAAAAUACCUUAGCAAGCACAUCCGUCAAUACAAGUCAAAUCCUAAGUUCCUUUCAAUACCCUCAGAAAUUUAUCCUUUUAUUGAACAAAGACAUUGGAAUUCAUUUAUGAGGGAUGAUAGACUGACAGAAAAUUUUGAGGUACAAAGUAAUAUUCAGAGAGCGAGGCAAAGCAGAAGUAUAUAUAACCAUAGGCUUGGUCGAAAGGGCUAUGCUCGGUUUCAAGAACAACUUAAACAAAAGACUGGAUCAAGUGAGAAUUUGGAUAGGAGCGUUCUAUGGAAGAAGGCUCAUCAAAAUAAAAGGAGAGUGUGAUGAUGUGAAAAUUAUGCAGCAAGUUGCAAAAAUUGAUGAGUUGACCAAACAAACAAUGGAUGGGAGUUUGUCCACCCAAGGAAGCACCGACAUCCUUACCAUGGCAUUGGGUAUGGUUGAACAUUCGGGGCGGAGCAAACCAUGCAAACUAGUGGUGGGCCCAUGGUACGAUGUAUGAAAGAACUGGACCUCAAGAAGUUAUUCACACGGUACCAUUGGGGAAAUUCAAUGUAUGAGUGUCUUUUGAUGUUGCUAUAGUUAAAGAUGCCCCUCUUCCCAUUCCUAUCCCGGAAGAGAUGACUAUUGUUGGAGAGGCAAUAGGAUGUCAGGUGGCUUGGCCCAAAAAAUUCAUAUUGGUCAACAAUGAGCUUUUGCUUCAUUGGUCGGCAAUGAGGUACAACUAUCUUUUCCAGUGGUGUUGUUACAUUUUCUUGCACUGAAAUUGACAUAUUUUUGCAUUGGGAAUUUUCUAAACUUAGGGAAAUUCAAAAAAUGUUGAUUUUGAAAAAAAAUUGGAGUCCAUAAGGACAUAUUUGGACAUAUUUGGGGAGGAGAUCAGUGUACAACUUCAAAGAAUGGAGUGUGUAUGUCAAAUGAAAGAGCUAUCCAUUACAUGCAUCAUGUUGUACAUAAGUGGUCUUCAGAUUUAUGGAAUAACUAAUGGGAUGAAUAGAAAGCCAAUUUGGCAAGUAGUUGAGUGCCCACAACAAUUGACAAGCGUGGAAUGUGGAUUUUAUGUAAUGAGGUACAUGAAAGACCUUAUUGGAGAUCAAAGCAUCCUAAGCAAAACAAAUUUUAAUGGGAAGAAGACUUGCAUGGAAUUUGAACUUGAUGAAGUGCUUGUGGAGUGGAUUAAUUUCGUCCUAGAUAACAUGUGAUUAUCUUCUAUAUGGUUCAAGGGGGAAUCUGGAGGGAAAUAUACAGAAAGAUGGAGGGAGAAAAAUGGUGGCGCUACUUGCAUAAUGACGUUGCCAAAUUAUAGUAGUCCAUAGGUUCCUUUAUUUUUCUUUGCUCAAUCAAAAUUUGUUUUGUCGUAGGAAUGACUCAUUUUUUGUUGAUAGAGCUUCUAUGGAUGUAGCAGCAGAUAUUUGAAAAUUGAAAUCAGUUUGUGUAAUUAAAGUUUAAUGCUUUGAUUUAUUAGGAA